rnacentral:rRNA from 1 species
UACGUAGGGGGCAAGCGUUGUCCGGAUUUAUUGGGCGUAAAGCGCGCGUAGGCGGCGCGGUAUGUCGUGCGUGAAAUCUCCCGGCUUAACUGGGAGGGGCCGUGCGAAACUGCCGGGCUUGAGGUCGGAAGGGGAAAGUGGAAUUCCGGGUGUAGUGGUGGAAUACGUAGAUAUCCGGAGGAACACCAGCGGCGAAGGCGGCUUUCUGGUCCGAUACUGACGCUGAGGUGCGAAAGCGUGGGGAGCUAUCCGG